AGCUGUUUCAUUAAUUACAGCAGAAUUAAUUAUUAGUGGUUGAGAAUCAGGAUAUUAAUCCUCUAAGUUCUCAGUGUUGGUGUAUUCACUGGAAACAUCAGCAGGCUUCCAGAGGUGCAGAUAUUCAAGUGAAAAUUCCACUUCCCUGGAUGCUGUGGCAUGCUCAGCCAGUGAGUCACAACACCCCAGGGUAGUUGUUGAACACUACAGGAGUGGGGCCUACAGACCCUUUCAGCAGCAAAUGGUUCUAUGAAGACAGAUCUCCACUCCUUCAGCACCCCAUAAAGAACUGUGGAAAAUGAGGCAGGAGACUGGGGAGUAGCAGGCUGACUGGGGAAGUAGGCAUGAGGUGUUAAUUACAAAAUCCCAGGACACGUGGAGAAAGAACAGUUCCCAAAGGCCUGCGUGUGGACUUCUCAGGAGAACUCGAGCAGUUUUGGAUAGGACAGCCCAGACCCGAGGUCAGCCUGCAGACUGGGUGGUACAAAAAGGACAGUCACCACUGAUCUCUGGGAUAUUGUGUUUGUCUCAAGUAAUUCUCUCUCGUACUGUAGAGCACUUUUUCUCAUACGUUAUUUGGUGCAAACUCCCUCUGCAGAGCACGUUUCUUUUCCUACCUUUAAUAAAUGUGAAACCUCACUACCUUUUGCACUUGUCUUGAC
ensembl:lncRNA